rnacentral:tRNA from 1 species
GGGCCCGUGGCCUAGUCUGGAUAUGGCGAUGGCCUUCUAAGCCAUAGGUCGGGGGUUCGAAUCCCUCCGGGCUCA